rnacentral:rRNA from 1 species
AACGAACGCUGGCGGCAGGCCUAACACAUGUAAGUCGAACGAAACCUUCGGGUUUAGUGGCGCACGGGUGCGGAACACGUGGGAAUGUACCCUCUGGUAAGGAAUAAUGUCUGGAAACGGACACUAAUACCUUAUAAUGACUUCGGUCCAAAGAUUUAUCGCCAGAGGAUCAGCCCGCGCAUGAUUAGAUUGUUGGUGAGGUAAUGGCUCACCAAGUCUACGAUCAUUAGCUGGUCUGAGAGGAUGAUCAGCCACACUGGAACUGAGACACGGUCCAG